rnacentral:lncRNA from 10 species
UGGUGAUGAAUGGAAGUGGCAAGAAUGGGCAUCUUUGACUUAUUUCAGACAUGAGGGAAAUGCAUCUAGUCUUCCACAGUUCUGCUGGUCUAGAAGUCUUAGUUCCAGAGGGAGGAAUGCUGCCACCAGGAGACAUAACAACGAUUCCAUUAAACUGGAAGUUAAGAUUGCCACCUGGAAACUUUGGGCUCCUCCUACGUUUAAGUCAAUGGCUAAGAAGGGAGUUACAGUGUUGGCUUGGUGACUGACCCGAAUUAUCAAGAUGAAAUCAGUUUAUCACUCCACGACAGAGGUAAGGAAGAGUAUGCAUGGAAUACAAGAGAUACAUUAGGGCAUCUCUUAGUAUUACCAUGCCCUGUGAUUAAGGUCAAUGGGAAACUACAAUGGCAGGACUACAAAUGGCCCAGACCCUUCUGAAAUGAAAGUUUGGGUCACUCCACCAGGAAAAAAAACACAACCUGCUGAGGUGCUUGCUGAAGGCAAAGGGAAUACAAAAUGAAUAGUAGAAGAAGAUAGUCAUCAAUACUAGCUACGACCACGUGACCAGCUGCAGAAACAAGUACUGUAAUUGUCAUGAGUAUUUCCUCCUUUAUUUGUUAAAAAUAUGUUUGUGCAUGUAUACACUUGUACUAAGAAAAUAUCUUCAUUUUGUUUUCUUUUUCCUUUAUCAUGUGACAUAAGAUUUAUUGACUUUAUAUCAGCAUUUAAGUAUUAACUUUAUGUAAUAGUAUUUAGGUUGGAGAUUGGUGUGUUUCCAGUUGUACAAAGGAUAGUUGUAUUAUGUUAGGUGCAAUUAUGACCUUAUUAUUUUCUUUAUUUGAAGAUUAUGUAUAAUUUCAGGAGAUGUAUAUGGGUUCAAGUUAACAAGGGGUGGACUUGUGAUGGUUAGUACUGAGUGUCUACUUGAUUGGAUUGAAAAAGGCAAAGUAUUGAUCCUGGGUGUGUCUGUGAGGGUGCUGCCACAGGAGAUUAACAUUUGUGUCAGUGGGCUGGGAAAGGCAGACCCACC